AAGGAAAGAGAGAGUGGCACAAAGCAACAGGAAACAGCAGUUAAGAAAGAAGACACAGAGCUUGAGAAAGAAGGACAAGAUCUUCAGAAGAAUGAAGACACAGACAAUUCAAGAGAAACCAAAGUUAAGAGCGAAUUAACAAAAUCAAAUAGUUUCCUCAGCAGAACAAAAAAUAUGUCACUGCUUAAAAAAUUCACCAAAGAUAUUAAGAAAAAAGUAGAGAAUAAAGAAGAAACAAAAACAAAUGAUAACAUCAAGGAAAACAAACAGGAAAGGGAAAAUCCAACCAGCACUGAAGGAAACGGCGUAAAUCAGAACUCAGGAAACAAUAUCUCAGGGACCACUCCAGGGGCUGAAACUGAAAAAAUAGGACCGAGCAAUCAUGAAAAAAAGUCAAAUUCAGCAACUUGUGUGUUAGUAUAAAACAAAGGGGGACAGAAGGAAACAAUCUUAGUCCAAGCAGCUCAGAAGCACACAUUGCACUUUAUGUAUACCAUUAUGAUCAGUCAUCAUCAGUUGUCCUUCAAUGUAGUUGCUUUUCAUUUAUCAGUGAAGUUGAGGCUUUCUGGAGAUCAGUGUUAUUAGAACCGGAGACUAUGAAGACCUAUUAUGUAACACACACUGCUAAACAGAUUGUUUUUAUUUUUCAAUGUUUCCAUAGCAGUCAUGGUGAUAAUUCAGUAAACUCCCGAUAACUCGACCCUAGCUUAAUUUGAAAUUACCACUUAAUUUAUCAUGCUGUCAAUAUCCCAGCCACAUUUAUUUAGGUAUUUAUACUUGCCACUUCGGAUAAGUUGUCACUGAUCCCUUUCCCCUUGGAGUGACGAAUUAUCAGUUUACUGUAUUUCAACAACUAGUUUGAUCAUAUUAAUAUAAAUGGGUAUACUUUAUACGAACAUAAGCUUUGAAUGUUCCAAUAUAAUGGAACUCCCAUGGUGGUGUUAUAAUUUUAUACAUAAAUAUGAAACUUACAUUAUUUAUCCUGAAAUUGUUUUUCUAUGUAAAUUACGCUUUAUUUUGUGGACAAUGUAAAUGCCUGUAAAAUGUUUAAAAAUAUGAAUUUCUUUGCUAAUCUUUUUUUAACAUUCGAUUGUGUUAAGAGUCAGAUUCUAAUUGUUUUUGUUGAUGGCACUGGAUCUCUUUGAAGGUAACAUUCCAUAGCCAAAGUCACACUCCAGUAUCUUGCCCUGUUCUUUAUGUUAAACCCAAGAUGAAUAUUUUUUCUAGCCAAUAAUAAUAAUCCUUGCAUUUGAU